rnacentral:lncRNA from 1 species
UGUUUAUGAGUUCAUUGGCGAAGUAAUUUUCAAAAUCAACGUUUUUAAGCCGAGAACUGAUCAAAGCUAAAGUAACAUGAAAUUUUAUCACAUAUAUAAACACCAACAACAGGGUUGUAAUUUUUCUUUGUUUUUUUUUUAGUUUUUUAAAGGUAGGUUACAGUCGCAUCUGCGCAUGUGCUGGACUUUGUUUACGUUUUUUGUUUUGAUCCACAUUAAUUAUAUAAGAUGAAGUAUAUGACGAGUUCAAAGUAACAUUCCACAUAAUUUGUGACCGAGGAGUGCAAUGUUUUACAAUACUUCGCUGCAUUUCUUGUAUAUUUCUACACUGGAAAUAUUUGUACACAAUAACACAAUCUUAUACUGUAACGUUUUAACUGUAAACAUUGUGAAUAAAGAGGCCGUUUUGAACCUUGUGUGGCUUGCUAUAUCAACAGCUGGGGCGGCGAACCGAAAUCCCGAACGUGUGAGUUCGAAUAAUUUGUGUUUAGUGUUUACCUUUGGAGUUUGUGUCUAAUCACGAAAAUAGUUCAUGCGGUAUCAAUCCCUCGAAACAUGUUGCCAGAGUUGUUGUUGUCAUUAUGACAGAAGCACUUGGGGAAAGCUUUUCGCUUGACGAAAUUCGAAACAAGUGUGAUAGAGAAUGUGGCUGCAUGCAGUUCCUGUCUUCGUGGCAAAGCAAAGGGCGAAAUUUUUGACCGUGCAAAAGCUGGAUAAACAGCUUUUGUUCAAGCUCGUGCGCGCUAUGGAGAUAAUUUUGGAUGCUGUUUUAAUAUAAACAACAGAAGAGUUCAAUAGAUUGACAGUGACGAGAGUACGAGACGCUAAGAUUAUAUUCAACUUUUUUGUGUUAUAAAAAUGUAUGGUUUGAAAUUAUGAACUGGAAGUAUGAAUUCAUUGAUAUUACUCUCAUAUUGACACUAAAUGAUGAUAUUCUUGUGACACUGAAUGAUCUAAUAUUAGCUUCAACAAUUCUGGUGAUCAGGUUACUUCAUCAUGUCUCUUCAAGACGGAGGACAAUUGCUAAAUAUAUGCUUGUUUCGCUCUAUAUCAGAGCUCAUCAGAAUGCCCAGGAAACACUGAUGAACUUUUGAUUUACAUCAACGAAUCUUUCUUUUUUUCAACAGAUUUAUUGGGUUAAUAUGGUAAUCUAUAUAUACAGACAUUAAAGGAGAACUCCAAGGGGUAAAGCACAAACAUGACUCCAGGGUUUUAUUUAUAGCCUUUAUAUGCCCCCUGAGAAUACUGAAUAUAACUAUACUAAAUAUAAUUACAGUUUGUAACAUGAACAAUCAGAUAAGUACAUUUACAUAAGAACCUGUUUAGGCUAACUUGGAAAAAAUCUAGGUUAUUAUUCGCAGGGUUUUACUGUGUUGUCUAAUUUUGUCCAAAAACAGACCAUGCACGGCACCCUGUUCUGGCAACAUAGAUAACGGGAUGGUGCCACUCUUUGUGACACAAAAUCAGGCAAUUAUAGUACAAUAUGAACUGGCAAGUGUCUGGCACCUUAAAACCAGAUUGCUUUGUGUAGAUGGAGCUCAUAAGCCUUGGCUGGCAACCAUCUAGGAGAAAGAAAGCUCUGAUUUCAAACCCCCAGACCCCACUUUUGGACAAGACAAUUGUAUAGUAACUAUAUCAGUCAUGAUCAUCUAAAAAUGCCAGUAUAUAUGCACUUAUAUACAAAGCUGUAUGCACUGUAAAUUUAGACUUUAUUUAUCUCAAUGACAUUUUCAGGGUUCUGGAUCAUUUUCAUUACUUUGUGAAGAGUUUAUUCUCUUUGAUUUUUAUACAUUUUUAGAUCUGACUGGUCUCCAUGUGAUAAAAUAAGAACCUGAAAUACUAGCCUAAACAGAUUGGGUGUCUAAAUACUGAAAAAUUAGCCUGACAGGCCCUCAUAUACAGUAGGUUCUUAUAUGCAAGCUUUACUUACAAUUAGGGUGGAAAAUAUACUAGUAAUUAUUAGUUGAGUUUGUUUACAUCAUAUAAGUAUUUGUGAUCAAAAUCUUUUAUAAACUAAAUGUCUUAGGGGUGUUUAUAUGGAGGCAAGCCAGCCCGGUUACCUGAGAUAGGUGGCUUUGCUAAUUUCAUCAUGUAGCAGGCUGGCACCAAAACAAAUCAUUGCGAGAAACUGUCAUGGUUAUGACCGUCACAACUGUUCACAGAGGUAUUAAUUUUUAAAACUAUAGAUUAAAAAUCUGUUGAGAAAGUCUUAUUUACUACAAUUAGUAAUUGGCAAUAUAUUCGUAUUCAGCGGCUUAGGCAAACCAGCCAACGUAGGCGAGAUCUGGGGCUCUGUCGGGCUCUGAUCUGGGGCUCUGUCAUUAAACAAGAUCUCGCUUAGGCAAGCCAGCCUGGUUCUCAUAUACACACAAUACGAAUAUUAGUAUAAAUUAUCUAGCAACAUUAGAUCUCGGCCAAGUAAGCUAGCUCAGGCACCCGAGCUGGCUUGCCUCCAUAUAAACACCUCAUUAGGUCAAGUACUGUAACUUCCGAGCAACUAAAAGGCAUUUAAACUGUUAAGUGUUUUGAUCAAAUUAAAAUCUACUUAGUAACUUUACAAGUUGUCCAUGAGCAGACAGUCAAAGACAGUAAUUAACGCACUGCUACAGCCAAGUAGAUUAUCACUCUGACAAGUGACAAUAACACGUCUAUAUAAACAGUCAUCCAAAAGUCCAAAUUGUUCAUUAUUUUUUCAUCGACAACUCACUACUCACGAGUAUCAUAUCUUUAGGCCUUUAUAAUUAUAUUAUGGGUUUCAGUUUGUAAAUAAAAUAGAUAAACAGUUCGUAUAUAUUAACGAUAGUGAAAUAGUGUAAUAUAGAAAAUUUUAUAGUCAUUAAAACCUCGAUUGAUGGGCUUUAAAACAAGCGAUUUCUCUGAAGGAUCAACAUUGCAGCUAUGUUGGGAGCAAUCUCCAAUCCUUCUUGGAUUCGUUUCUUGACAACCUUUGGUAGAAGCUUGAGG